rnacentral:rRNA from 1 species
GGGUUAGUAGGUUAGUCGUACCACUGGUAUGUACCGGCUUUACUGAUUCCUCCUUCUUGAAGAACUGUAAUGCCAUUUAUUUGGUGCUGCAGGGAAUCAGGACUUGUUACUUUGAAAAAAUUAGAGUGUUUAAAGCAGGCUAACGCUUGAAUACAUUAGCAUGGAAUAAUAAAAUAGGACGUAACGAUCCUAUUUUGUUGGUUUCUAGGAUUGACGUA